AUUUUUUUUUCCUUUUUGCCUUUGCUAUAAUUUCCCACAUAUGCAUUGACUAUUUAUCACUCAUAAACACUGAAAUAACUAGUUCAGAAUGGAUUGCUUCAAGAGUUUCCCUUUCCGAAUGUUUAUGAACAUGGAUUCUUCAGAGAAACUUCAAGAACUUUAAGUGAAGAGGGCAGUUCUGCUAAGUGACGAUCUGAAUCACCUUCUGCUCUCAGGUAGCUAAAAGGAAAAAUCAAAACCAUAGAAUCAAAGAAUCACAGAAUGCUUAAGGUUUCAACAGAAGGUUGGAAGAGACCUCUGGAGUCACCUGGUCCAAUUUCACUGCUGAAGCAGGGCUACCCAGUGCAGGUUGCACAGGACCACAUCCAGGUGGCUUUUGGAGAUUUCCACGGAGGAGACCUCACAGGCUCUGGGCAGCCUGUGCAGUGCUGCCUGGGGUUGAUACACUGUAUAUGUAAAUCCUUCAUCUUUAUCUGGUAUCAUGACACUUUCUUUCUAAACUCCCUCAUGCCACCUCCCUGUAAAAUCACAGAGGGAGCACACCAUAUUUUCCUGGGAACAUUUUCUGUUCAAUAUGCUAGCUCUGAGGCAGUAUUAAUAAAUAGGGUUCCAAGUCAGCCAUGAAUUCCUCACAUAUCCCAAUAGCAUUUGCAGCUUACAGGGCUUUAAAAGCUUUGAUGCUUCAUCAGUUUGGAAACAUUAUUUGAAAAAGCUUGGUAGCUCAGUGCUGCUGAGCUAAAAGGCCAAAGACUGGACUGGUACAAACUGAAACAAUUUACUGAUUUCUGGGAAACAACAGGGAUUUAUACCAGAAAAGCCAGCCCAAAAAGGUAAUAUAAGCGCAGAGGUGAGUUAAAACAAUUGUUAAACAGGAUGCUUCAUGUUGUUACCUAAAUCAUUUUUUUUUUGUUUGCUUUGUUUUGUUUUCUGAACAGAGGCAUGCCACCAUAGCUGAAAUUUUAAGACACACUCUCCUGCCAGGAUUUUGGGAAUCAACAACAGCAUGGCAGCAGGUGGCCAUACUGUGGUUUCUGGAUAGUUCCUUCAACAGCAAAGCCACAUACAAGCUUUAGACUGCAGUGAUUUUUAUUAUUUUUUUUUAUUUCUGACCUUUGGGCUGACUUUUUUUUUUUAAGUGAGCCAAAGAGAAAUCCUGAAGAGACAUGCUGGUGUUAGAAAGAGAAGAGAUAUUGUGCCUCUACUGCAGUUGUGUCAAGAAAAGCUUUCUAUAGCUUUAAUGAAGAAGGUGGUCUCUGGUAAUUCUCUCUCCUUGUGUUGGUAGCUGUAGCCUUACUUAUUUAUUCAAGGAAAAAGAAGAAUUCUGUGGAAAAAUUCUAGACAAAACUUCUGUUCUACUAUAAGUCAGUUCUUACAUGACGAGAUUAUUUCUAUCUUCAUAUCCUUUCCUGACAUAAGUAUAAAUAAACAAAAUAAACAAACAACCCCUGUUAUUUGACAAAAGUCAAAUAACCAACAGAAAACAUCAGAAAUUCCUCAGAGAAUGACUUAUUUUUUCUGCUUGCAAGUCCAAUAAUUCCUCAACUCAUAAUAUUGUUGGACAGGACAACUACUUGUAAACCAUAUCUGAAGAGUUCUUGCUUUUAAGAUUUCCAGAAUCAAAGGUUCAA